AGUAACACGUAAACAACCUGCCUUCAGGAUGGGGACAACAGACGGAAACGACUGCUAAUACCGAAUAAGUUCCAAGAGCCGCAUGGCCCAUGGAAGAAAAGGUGGCCUCUACCUGUAAGCUAUCGCCUGAAGAGGGGUUUGCGUCUGAUUAGCUGGUUGGAGGGGUAACGGCCCACCAAGGCGACGAUCAGUAGCCGGUCUGAGAGGGUGAACGGCCACACUGGAACUGAGACACGGUCCAGACUCCUACGGGAGGCAGCAUG
rnacentral:rRNA from 1 species